UCAGAACGAACGCUGGCGGCAGGCUUAACACAUGCAAGUCGAGCGCCCCGCAAGGGGAGCGGCAGACGGGUGAGUAACGCGUGGGAACGUACCCUUUACUACGGAAUAACGCAGGGAAACUUGUGCUAAUACCGUAUGUGCCCUUCGGGGGAAAGAUUUAUCGGUAAGGGAUCGGCCCGCGUUGGAUUAGCUAGUUGGUGGGGUAAAGGCCUACCAAGGCGACGAUCCAUAGCUGGUCUGAGAGGAUGAUCAGCCACAUUGGGACUGAGACACGGCCCAAACUCCUACGGGAGGCAGCAGUGGGGAAUAUUGGACAAUGGGCGCAAGCCUGAUCCAGCCAUGCCGCGUGAGUGAUGAAGGCCCUAGGGUUGUAAAGCUCUUUCACCGGAGAAGAUAAUG
rnacentral:rRNA from 1 species